GCUCAGAAACUUAAAGGAAGUUGACGGGGGCCCGCACAAGCGGUGGAGCAUGUGGUUUAAUUCGAUGAUACGCGAGGAACCUUACCUGGGCUCAAAUGUAUGUUGACGUAUUCUGAAAGGGAUACUUCUUCGGACAAUAUACAAGGUGCUGCAUGGUUGUCGUCAGCUCGUGCCGUGAGAUGUUGGGUUAAGUCCCGCAACGAGCGCAACCCUUGCCUUUAGUUGCCAGCAGUUCGGCUGGGCACUCUAAAGGGACUGCCGGUGUUAAACCGGAGGAAGGUGGGGAUGACGUCAAGUCCUCAUGGCCUUUAUGACCAGGGCUACACACGUACUACAAUGGCCGAUACAAAGGGCAGCGACACUGCGAGGUGAAGCCAAUCCCGUAAAAUCGGUCUCAGUCCGGAUUGGAGUCUGCAACUCGACUCCAUGAAGUUGGAAUCGCUAGUAAUCGUGGAUCAGCAUGCCACGGUGAAUACGUUCCCGGGCCUU
rnacentral:rRNA from 1 species